ACAGGCGGCUAGGACAGUUGACAGAGAGGCAGUUUCGCAGAAAGUCUUCACGCAGACUUCAAAACAGUACUUCUCAAGCUCGAAGAAUGCCUGGAAUUCAGUGGCCUUUAUCCAACAGAAAGAUCUCCAACUCGGUUUUGACUGAGUUCCCUAUAGAAGAGCCCUGCAGCCUUGAACACUGACAACGCCCCGCAUGUUAGAGGGAAGGGGGGAAAACCCUCGAAGGCUCUUCGGCGCUUGGGGCACAGAUCGCGGCUCCGCGGGUAACUGGCCCGCGGGCAGCUCCGGACUGUGCAGUCGGGCUCUCGGUGGUGCGGGGUUUGCAAGCCCCGUGGCUGAGACCCGCCCGAGACUGCUGGCAAUCCCCACCUGCUUGCAACCAACCAGCGCCUCCCUCGGCCCCAUGGCCCCAGCUCCUACCCCUUCCACUACCGCAAACGCCGGCUGCGCCAACAGAAGCUCAGAGGCCCUUUUAUCCUGGUUAAAGAGAAGCUCAACAGAAAGUGAAACGGUCCCUAUUUCUUGGGGGAGAAGGCGCCAGGCCAGAGAAAGAGAGAGAGACCACCCAGCAGGGAGAGACAGCAGAGGCAGAGGGAGAAGCAGACUCCCAGCGGAGCAGGGAGUCCGACGCGGGGCUCGAUCCCACGACCCUGAGAUCAGGACCUGAGCCAAAGGCAGUGGCUUAACUGAGUGAGCCACCCAGGCGCCCCGGGAGUCACAUCUUUUUAAGGCACUGGGAUACCAAGAGUGGACAGUGUCCUGGCUGCCAAGGAACUCAGUCUCACCAUGGGAGCUGAUGUGUAAAUCGACAGCUGGUACACGGGGUGAUCAGUGCUCUACAGACUCAUCCUUGGAGUGCUGGGCAAGGAAGUAAGCGUGCUAUCUGCCUGGAGCAUCUAGGAGGACUUCCCAGAGGAGGCAAUGCCCAACUGGACCCUGGGGACAGGGAAAGACUGCACCCCAAGAAAGCUCAAGUAACAGUGUUACGGGUAUUCUCUUGCCUAUAAUGUAGUUUCAAUAGAUUUGUGAAAUGUGUAAGUUAGCGAGCACUUGAGAGACUCUUAUUAGGAAUUCACACCCCAGGGUAGAUAGCAUUUCAAAGUUCUUAAUCAGAAGUCCCAACAACAGAGUCAGCUACUGUAUGCCUUUAGUUUCUACAUCUAUACUAGAGCAUUUCCUAAGUAGUAAAUGAUUUGUUAGAAAUAAUUUUUUCCUGGUGAGGAGAAUGACCACUUAAGGUAUAUGGACUGGCUAGAAAAACAGAGGUGCCUCUCCCUUUGCAGGAAUGGGUUACAGAAUCUGGAAACCCCAGCAGCUGGGUCAGAGAGACACUCUGCAGGGAGGACUCCGGUAAGAUCCUGUGACCCACCACUGAGCAAGAGCCUUUUUUCUUUUGAAGAUUUAUUUAUUUAUUAGAGAGAAAGAAAAAGAGAGAGAACGGGGGGAGGGGCAUAGGGAGAGAGAGAAUCCUCAAGCUGACUCUUCGCUGAGUGCGGAGCCCGAUGCAGGGCUCAAUCCCAGGACCCUGAGAUCGUGACCUGAGCCGAAACCAAGAGUCAGCCACUCAACCAACUGAACCACCCAGGCGCCCCUGAGCAGGAGCAUUUGCUGCUAGAUUCCAGGGGGUAAACAGAAUCCAGCUGCUAGAACACUGGUACAUUUGCUUCUAAUGAAACACUCAUGCAAAAAUACUUGAGUCCCUAAGUAUUCUCACUAAUGUUACAAGAAUGAGUGGUGUGACUGUUUUUGUGGCAUGUUAAUGAAUGUUUGUAUGCAUGGCCGAGUUUAGCUGGAGACUUGGUUUCCCUGUAAGUACAGCUAGCCCCUGGUGGGGAGGCUGGGGGAGAGGAGACCUGUAACUCCCCUGGCUCCACCAUUCCACAGACAGUCAAGCUGUGGGGGCCAGUUAGUAAGGGUUCCCCAGCAGCUUGCCUUCUGAGGCUGUCUGCAGAAACACUUUGAAUGCCCUGCCCCGAACGAUGAUGCUCACAGCAGUCCCCGAAUCCACCUGGAAGGCAUCCAACCCUUUCUGGCCCCGUUGCCUUACAUUUGACCUCGAAGUCCCUCACUGUCCUUCCAACCAGGCUUGAAAUCUUCCAGACUCUGCUACCUGCUCCAUCUGAUGGAGUCCCUUCUCUGUCCACAGUAAUAUCCAACAGCAUUUCUAUCACGUUAGCCUUGACAGCUGGUUGUCCUAAUAAUUCCACUUCAUAACAUUUCUGACUAUUAAUUAAUUGCCGCCAAGAGGAUUAAUUUCCGUGGGGGAUUUUCUGGCAAAAAAGCCGCAGCUCCCUAAGGCGUAAACAGCAUUCUAAAGGCGAAGGUGGACCACUACUCAAGUCUGCCACCUGGUGGCCAGUUGAUGUAGAGCAGCACUCCCUGGGCUUCAGGGCUCCGCGGCUCCCCCCAGUGCAUUUAGGAUCAUCUGAGGAGUGAUUACAAAAACUUAAAAAAUUAACUCCCCUGUCCUGCCUGGGACAUGCUCCCAGACGAACUAAAGAAAAAUCUCUAGGGGUGGGACCCAGGGGGCACAUUAGAAUCCCAGGUGAGCUUUUCAAAAAUAUGUUUCCUGAUAGUACACCCCGACCUGCUGAUCAGAAUCUCAGAAUCUCCCAGAAGUGGGGCCCAUGUCUGUGUGCUCUGAACACACCCUGCUUAAGGAGGAGUGGUUCAGGCCUCCCCAUGCCGCCAGGAGAGUCAUCCUGCUAGACAAACACAGGUCUGGGUCCCUCCCUGAUUCACCUUCACGAGUACUGAGUGGUGCUUGAGAACCUAUAUUUUUAAGCAGAAAUGGGGCUCACAAAGGCCAUGACUUGCCCAAGGUCACAAGCCUGGUGGGGUAGGGCUGGAACACCAACGUGCCAGUCUUUGGGUCCCACCCGUAACCGCAAGCUGCUGGAUGCUUAACUCCACUGGAGGGGAAUUCUUUGCCUUAGUGAGCUAGAAUUCUUAGGGAGGAAACAGAAAAAAAUGAAAAUAAGCAAAAAGGUACCCCAAAUGAGACAUCAUAGUCUUCGAAUGUGUAAGGCUUGUCUGCGAGGUCUUCGAAAAACUCUGCUAGGGAGUCCAGUGUCUUCUCCGCCAGUCUUUCAUAGGUGGUCUCAUCCAGAGAGCUGCAGGGGAAACAUAAAAACCCCCAAAACACACGUUUACCAAACUGCUCCAUUUCAUUAACGUCAAACCCACACAUCUAUUUAUUUACUUAUUUAAUUUAUUUUUAGUAAAUACACCCAAUGUGGGGCUUGAACUCACGACCCAGAGAUCAAGAGUCGCAUGCUCCACAGACUGAGCCAACCAGGCCCCCCGACACAUAGGUUUUUUACUUAAAAAAUUCAUGGGAAAUAGCUACCAUGUACAGAGAAAAAAUUUAAGCAGCAUGAAAGAGUUUAUACAGGGGUGCCUGGGUGGCUCAGUCGGUUGAGCCUCUGCCUUCAGCUUAGGUCAUGAUCCUGAGGUCCUGGGAUGGUCCGUUGGGCUCCCUGCUUAGUGGGGAGUCUGCUUCUCCCUCUCCCCCUGCUUAUGCACACUCUCUCUGUCAAAUAAUAAUAAUAAAUAAAUAAAUCUUAAAAAAAAAAGUUUGUAAAGAAACUUUCUUCCCAAAUAAGCAGCCCCCAUCCGCAGAGUCAACUACGAAUAACAGUCUCUUCUAUAUCCAUCCAGAAUUUUAUAUUCUUUUUAAUAUAGAAAUUGAAGCACCUUGCAGUUUUUAUUUAACAUAUCCUGGAAAUUGUUCCAUAUUAGCACAUACGGAUAUUCCUGGUAUUUUAUUUUAUAAUAUUUAUUCAACCUGACCCCUUCAGCUGGACAUUAUGCUUAUUAAAAUUGCUUGUAUUAUGAUUAAAAUUAUGUUGGGCAAAGCACAAAGUGGGAGAAAAUACUUGCAUUACAUGUAUCUGAAAAAGGGCUUAUUUCCAGAAUAUAUAAAGAACUAAAAAAAAACAAACAAAAAACUACAAGUCAAAAGAAAAAGAAAACCCAAUAGAAAAAAUGGGUAAAAUACUUGAACAGAUACCAUUUUAUUUUAUUUUAUUUUAUUUAUUUUAUUUUUUUUUAAGAUUUUAUUUAUUUAUUUGAGAGAGAGAAUGAGAGACAGAGAGCAUGAGAGGGAGGAGGGUCAGAGGGAGAAGCAGACUCCCUGCUGAGCUGGGAGCCCGAUGCAGGACUCGAUCCUGGGACUCCAGGAUCAUGACCUGAGCCGAAGGCAGUCGCUUAACCAACUGAGCCACCCAGGCGCCCCGAACAGAUACCAUUUUAAAAAACAUAUCCAAAUGGCCAGUGGACACAUAACAAGGGGUAUAGCUUUAUUAAUCUUCAGGAAAAUACAUUAAAAAAUCACAAUGAGAUACCACCAGAAUGGUUAAAAUGAAAAAGACAGAUGACAUCAGGAGUUGGCCCAAAAGUGAAGCAACCCCUCUCCAUUGGGUGUGUGUGUGUGUGUGUGUGUGCGUGCACGCUUGUACACGUGUGUAUCACGGCCAGAGAAGCCGAUCCUAGACCUCGAGAGAGGACGGCGUGUCACCUGGAAAUCUUGGCCUUUGAAGUGGAUGACAGACCUGAUGAGAGGGCCUGUGGUGGCAGCCUUGGGGUUAGGGGCUAAUGUGCUGUGUGUGCGUGUGGAAGGAGGGUCCAUGGAGACAUCAGACUGGCAACGCUGGGGAGCUCUGCACCAGAACCCACUGCUUCCUUCCAGGGCGCCCACCAGGCUCUAUUUCCCAGCAUCCCCUGGGGUCCGCUGGGGUCAUGUGGCCCAGUCCCUCCCACUAAAAUCUGAGUGAGGGACAAGUGCCUCUUCCAAGACGUCAUGCUCUUGCCCCUUUCUGUGGAAUGGAACCCGGGCAGGGUGACCUGGCUUCUACCGUGUAGAGGACAGUAAGGUACGGACAAGUGAUAGGUGGAAGGACCCUGGGUGCCUGAAUCCCUGCCCAGAGGCACGCCCACCCUGGACUGUUGGAACACAGGGACGCAAACCACUGCUGGCUUGAGCUAUCACAGUUGGGGGCCUGUCUGUCACAGAGGCUUGGCCGACCCGAACUGCUAGGUCAUCGAAGAGAGUAACAACAGAACUCUGGAAACGACCCAAUGUCCAGCAGUAGGGAACGGGUUAAAUGAACUGUGGUACAUCCAUCAAGUUUAAUAUUAUUUUAUUUAAAAUAAUGUGGCAGAGGGGCACCUGGGUGGCUCAGUCGGUGAAGCGUCCGACUCUUGAUUUCAGCCCAGGGCUUGAUCUCAGGGUCGUGAGUUCAAGCCCUGUGUUGGGUUCCACACUGGGGCAGAAGUCUACUUAAAAAUAAAUAAAUAAAUAAAUAAAAUAAUGUGGUAGAUAGUUGUUGAUACGGAAAGAUGCUUAUGAGUGCUUCUGCUAAGGGAGAAGACAGGUUUUGGAUGGGAUGGGCUUUUUUCUUUUUUUAAACCGGUAAGAGAAAAGGAAAAAAAAUUUUAAAAAGCUAAUAGAAGUGACGCCUGGGUGGCUCAGUCGUUAAGCAUCUGCCUUUGGCUCAGGACAUGAUCUCAGGGUCCUGGGAUCAAGCCCUGCAUCGGGCUCCCUGCUCUGCGGGAAGCCUGCUUCUCCCUCUCCCUGAAGCUUGUGCUCGCUCUCUCUCCCAAAUAAAUAAAAUCUUUAAAAAACAAAAGCUAAUAGAAGUGUGAGCAGGUAUACACAUGUUGUGUAUUGAGAGAGAGAAGGAGGGAGGAGGGAGAAGGGCUCUCUGGCGUGGAACGGGCUUUAUCUUACCCAGGGUCGCCCAAAGUUCCCGCUGUCCUCAUAUUCAUCAAACAGACGCUCUGCUUUUUGACAUUCACGAUCUGAUCGAGGCGGUGGAGGCUCAGACUCUAAAAGCCAAAGUGAAGAAGAACAUUACCAUUUCUCAGUGCAUUACGGUCCCUGAACUCACGGUUUAAAUAGCACCACUUCUUCAUUCGGGAAUAAACCACGUUAAAUUUUUCCAGGGGUGUUUCUGGGAUGUUUUCACCUCAUUUUAAUGCAUUACCUUGUGUUCAUUCUCUCGGGCUCUCUCUAAGCCUGUGCUGUCUGAUAUAAUAGCCCCGAGCCACAGGCAGCUCUUUACAUUUAAAUUUAUUGUCACUUCCCAUCACUUCCCACUAAAAUUUGAGUGAGGGACAAGCACCACUUCCAGGACUCCCAUGUUCUGGAAGGCCAAGUUUCAAGUGUCCUGUGGCCUCAUGUGGCCAGUGGCACAUAGAACGGAGUCACCAUCACGGGAAGCUCUAUGGGGAGCACUGCUCCAGGCUAUUCUGCGGUGUUUAGCACAGGCCAGGCGCGUGGAAGCAUCAGCAAAGCUCCUGGAAUUUGACUAAUGCAAGCAACAAUGAACAGCAAGAGGCAGAUGUCUGCUGAUGUCCAGAAGAGAGGAUUGGACUGCAGAUGGACAGGUUUCAUUAACAUGACCUGUGGGAGAUAAUGUGACCUGUUGAUUUCCUCCAACACAUAACUGGAAGAGGGUCCAGGCGCUCGUCUACUGGCCAGCUGGAGAGACAGAUGACAUGACCAGAGGACAGUGACAAACACCGAGGGGAGCCUGGCUGAGGGACCUGCCCCAGUGAGGGAGGGGACGGAGCCUGUAAAAGGAGAGAAAAGUGGUACAUCAGAGUGGAGAUGUCAGGGGAGAGGAUGGAGAGGUGGCCAUGGGGCCUUGUGAAGGCUCUCAGCUGGACUUCAUCCUGGGAAGGCACCCAAGGGCUGGAAGGGGUUGGUAGUAAGAUUCACCUUCUCCAAAGGUCACUCUGGAGCAGGGCUCAGAGGCCGCUGUUCUCUUGAGCCAUCGGUGCCCUUGGCAGGCUCAGAAAGGAGAAGGCAGAGGCCACGGGGCUGAGAAAUGAGCAGAAAAGGGGGAAACAGGGGUGCAGAGCACAGAGGGUGUGAUUUUAAAAGGUUGGCUCCGAAAGAGAAGAGAGCCAGCAUGAUAACCAGUUAUUGCUACUGCACAUUCUAGAGUGUUCCCUAUCUGCUGGGUGUUGCAGCUCUCAGUCUUGAUAGAAAUGGAUGUGGUUAGUCCUCAUUACAAGUCUGUGAAGCAAGUACUCUUAUUAUAGUGGUUCCUUAUGACAGUUUGUUCUAUAAAGUCACCACGAACAGGAGGUUAGUGAAAUGCUCCUACGGGAAAUACAGGCUUAGGUUCCUGCAGGCUUCAGGUCACAUGUGACCAGCUGAUCCAUACAUAACCUCGUUUACAUGCGUUUCUGCUUAAAGACAUCUUGUUUAAUACACAUUGCUGAUACAUGAACACUGAGCUCGGGGCCAACAGCACCAUUACUGAGGCUGGAACGAGGCUGAUCUAACACACGUGUUUUGUCCGUAAGGCCCUAAGCCUUCUCACACUUAGAAUGCUAGACAGUACUCCAGCCCUAUGCUCCAGGGCCAUUUGAAACAGUAAAAUCACCAACCAAAAACACAAAAAUGCAAACAACGUGCCACUAACUAGAUGGUGGAAAGGACACUUGACCCCGUGGGAGCCGAGAGAAGAAGACAGAGUGUCACCUUGUUUGACCUCGGUGGGAACACGCAAGCAUGGGGCAACUCUAAGUUUUUGCUGCUGUGUGUGUGUCCCAGAGUGACCACGAAAUCCACCCUGGGUAUUGAUUUGGGGGUUACAGAUAAAUUUUACUGAGUAGGUGAAUUCACAAGUCCAGGAUCCAUGAAACAUGAGGAUAGGCUGUAUUUGUAUUCUAUGGAUGAGGAACCGAAGCAAAUCACUCGAUACGUGGAGGAGCAGAGAUCUGAACCCACACCCUCUGGCCCCAGGGUCUGGGCCACAAAGGAUAAGAAUCACACACCUGGGAAUCGUACAGGGUUUCAGACAUGGAAGGGAAGUUCGAGAACUAGGGGCUCAGAGUUUCCCUCCCCUCCAGGAUCCUGGCCUCUCAAAUCCUAGUUGUCGUAGUCUGACACCUUCGCAUAGCCUUUUUCCUGUUUCGUUUUUGGUUUUGACUUUUAUAUCUUGGAGGGCUGUUCUUGGUGGGAGGUUUGCGCUAAUGCAAGUUACUCAUAGCCAGAAGUAGAAGUCUACAUCCGGCUGUUUUUAAUCAUCAAAGGAACUGCUGCCAAAGUUGCUGGUCUCUUACCUGUUCUCCCCCAAGCUAACGUUCCCUGGGUACCUGCUCACCCUUUCCGAGCCCCCGAAGGCAGGGGUCAUGGUACCCGCCACGCAGACUGGUGAUGAACAUUAGACAGGAGGACACAAAUACCCCAAACACAGGGCUGGAGGGUGUCCAGUCAAUUUCAGUUUUGGAGCAUGUCAACAAUAGUGGAGAGGCGGAGGGUGAGGCCCGGCCUGGGUGGCUGGCAGGGAGGCCAGGCCUCACCCCAGGGGUCCCCUCCGCAAAGCACAAAGCUGCAGAGCCUGGAAGAGUGAGUCAGUUCUCACCCACCGCUGGCGGGGGAUGGACGGGUACAACCAUUCUUGGCAUCAAAUGAGUUGAAUAUUUGCUGGCCCCUCGCCUAGCAAUGCCAUUCUGAGGGAUUCGGCCACAAAGAGCCUCUGUCCAUGCACUGGAACGCCUACAGCAGCACCAUCAUGCCACCAGCACCAUGGUGGUCACACAGAUGUCACCAGGAGACUGGACAGAGUGUGAUGGGCUCACCCAAUGGGAUACUACCCAGCAGAGAAAACGAAAAAAUGACAACUGUGUGCAUCAGUGUCGAUGAGCCUCAAAAACAACACUGAGCACAAGGGACAAGUCACAGCACAAUAAAUACAGCAAAACUUUUUUCUAUCAACA